rnacentral:rRNA from 1 species
AGAGUUUGAUCAUGGCUCAGGAUGAACGCUGGCGGCGUGCCUAACACAUGCAAGUCGAACGGAGUUAUUCGAGGAAGUUUUCGGAUGGAAUCAAAUGACUUAGUGGCGGACGGGUGAGUAACGCGUGGGAAACCUGCCCUGUACCGGGGGAUAACACUUAGAAGUAGGUGCUAAUACCGCAUAAGCGCACGGGACCGCAUGGUCCAGUGUGAAAAACUCCGG